ACACGGUAAGGAUUGACGGACUGAAGGCUCUUUCUCGAUUCCGUGGAAAGUGGUGCAUGGCCGUUUUUGGUUGGUGGAUCGAUCCGUCUGGUUAAUUCCGUUAACGAACGAGACCUCGGCACUCCGAAUAGCGCGGCGGACGUCGCGGCCUCCGGGCCGUCUUCCGCACGAGCUUCUUAGAGGGACCGUCCCCCGCCGGGGAAGGAGGUGCGAGGCAACGACAGGUCUGUGAUGCCCUUAGAUGUUCUGGGCCGCACGCGCAUUACACUGACGCGUCCAACGGGUGACUCCCGACCCGAAGGGGCCGGGGAAUCCGCAAGGCGCGUCGUGAUGGGGAUUGAACGUUGCAAUUGUUGUUCACGAACGAGGAAUUCCUAGUAGGCGCGGGUCAUCAACCCGCGCCGAUUACGUCCCUGCCCUUUGUACACACCGC
rnacentral:rRNA from 1 species